rnacentral:rRNA from 1 species
AUGAACGCUAGCUACAGGCUUAACACAUGCAAGUCGAGGGGCAGCAUGGUCUUAGCUUGCUAAGGCCGAUGGCGACCGGCGCACGGGUGAGUAACACGUAUCCAACCUGCCGUCUACUCUUGGACAGCCUUCUGAAAGGAAGAUUAAUACAAGAUGGCAUCAUGAGUCCGCAUGUUCACAUGAUUAAAGGUAUUCCGGUAGACGAUGGGGAUGCGUUCCAUUAGAUAGUAGGCGGGGUAACGGCCCACCUAGUCUUCGAUGGAUAGGGGUUCUGAGAGGAAGGUCCCCCACAUUGGAACUGAGACACGGUCCAAACUCCUACGGGAGGCAGCAGUGAGGAAUAUUGGUCAAUGGGCGAGAGCCUGAACCAGCCAAGUAGCGUGAAGGAUGACUGCUCUAUGGGUUGUAAACUUCUUUUAUAAAGGAAUAAAGUCGGGUAUGUAUACCCGUUUGCAUGUACUUUAUGAAUAAGGAUCGGCUAACUCCGUGCCAGCAGCCGCGGUAAUACGGAGGAUCCGAGCGUUAUCCGGAUUUAUUGGGUUUAAAGGGAGCGUAGAUGGAUGUUUAAGUCAGUUGUGAAAGUUUGCGGCUCAACCGUAAAAUUGCAGUUGAUACUGGAUAUCUUGAGUGCAGUUGAGGCAGGCGGAAUUCGUGGUGUAGCGGUGAAAUGCUUAGAUAUCACGAAGAACUCCGAUUGCGAAGGCAGCCUGCUAAGCUGCAACUGACAUUGAGGCUCGAAAGUGUGGGUAUCAAACAGGAUUAGAUACCCUGGUAGUCCACACGGUAAACGAUGAAUACUCGCUGUUUGCGAUAUACGGCAAGCGGCCAAGCGAAAGCGUUAAGUAUUCCACCUGGGGAGUACGCCGGCAACGGUGAAACUCAAAGGAAUUGACGGGGGCCCGCACAAGCGGUGGAGCAUGUGGUUUAAUUCGAAGCAACGCGAAGAACCUUACCAAGGCUUGACAUAUACAGGAAUAUUUAAGAGAUUAAAUAGCUCUUCGGAGUCUGUAUACAGGUGGUGCAUGGUUGUCGUCAGCUCGUGCCGUGAGGUGUUGGGUUAAGUCCCGCAACGAGCGCAACCCUUGAUUUUAGUUGCCAGCAUUUAGUUGGGCACUCUAAAGUGACUGCCGGUGCAAGCCGGAGGAAGGUGGGGAUGACGUCAAAUCAGCACGGCCCUUACGUCCGGGGCUACACACGUGUUACAAUGGGGGGUACAGAGGGCCGCUACCACGCGAGUGGAUGCCAAUCCCCAAAACCUCUCUCAGUUCGGACUGGAGUCUGCAACCCGACUCCACGAAGCUGGAUUCGCUAGUAAUCGCGCAUCAGCCACGGCGCGGUGAAUACGUUCCCGGGCCUUGUACACACCGCCCGUCACACCAUGGGAGUUGGGUUCACCCGAAGACGGUGCGCCAACCUCGCAAGAGGAGGCAGCCGGCCACGGUGGGCUCAGCGACUGGGGUG